AGUGAACGCUGGCGGUAGGCCUAACACAUGCAAGUCGAACGGCAGCACAGUAAGAGCUUGCUCUUACGGGUGGCGAGUGGCGGACGGGUGAGGAAUACAUCGGAAUCUACUUUUUCGUGGGGGAUAACGUAGGGAAACUUACGCUAAUACCGCAUACGACCUACGGGUGAAAGCAGGGGAUCUUCGGACCUUGCGCGAUUGAAUGAGCCGAUGUCGGAUUAGCUAGUUGGCGGGGUAAAGGCCCACCAAGGCGACGAUCCGUAGCUGGUCUGAGAGGAUGAGCCGCGACACUGAGACUUAGACCCGGUCCAGACUCUCACGGCAGGCAGCAGCGGGGAAUAUUGGAAAAUGGGCGGAAUCAUACUCCAGUCAUACCGCGUAGAUGAAGAAGGCCUUCUGGUUCGAGAGCCCUUAUGUUGGGAAAGAAAAGCAGCAGGUUAAUCCCCCGCUGUUCUGACGUUACCCAAAGAAUAAGCACCGGCUAACUUCGUG
rnacentral:rRNA from 1 species